rnacentral:rRNA from 1 species
AUUGAACGCUGGCGGCAGGCCUAACACAUGCAAGUCGAGCGAGCGGCGGACGGGUGAGUAAUGUCUGGGAAACUGCCUGAUGGAGGGGGAUAACUACUGGAAACGGUAGCUAAUACCGCAUACCAUCAGAUGUGCCCAGAGGGGAUUAGCUAGUAGGUGGGGUAAUGUCUCACCUAGGCGACGAUCCCUAGCUGGUCUGAGAGGAUGACCAGCCACACUGGAAAUGAGAAACGGGCCAGUCUCCUACGGGAGGCAGCAGUUGGGAAUAUUGCACAAUGGGCGAAAGCCUGAUGCAGCCAUGCCGCGUGUGUGAAGAAUGCCUUCGGGUUGUAAUGCACUUUCAGCGGGGAGGCGUUGCCCGAAGAAUAAGCACCGGCUAACUCCGUGCCAGCAGCCGCGGUUAUUU